AGUGGUCUUAGUUUUAACGAACCAGCAAGCAAAUGUUGUUUGACUAGACUUUUAAUUAAUGGAUAUUAUGAAAAGA
rnacentral:misc_RNA from 1 species